GGGGCUGAAGGAACACCAGAAGAGUGGCAGACAGCUCCGGAGCCGCGCUGCCCGGGCGACGCCGGAAGAUGGGCCUCCCAGCGGUCUUCCUUUCAGCCAAUGGCCGCGAGAUGCGCCGUCCGAGGGUGCCCCGCGCGGCAGAGGGAGGGAACAAGCAGCCCAUCGGGUGCAAGAAAGCACUAUCUUUCUAGGUGACUAUGCGAACUACCAGGGAAGUGUAGCUAGGGACAGGCUUCUCUGCCCGCGGUUAACCUAACUCAGUGCCACCACGCCUUUAACCUGAAGCCAGGGAGCACGGCCGCCCUUAGUAAAGAUGGCUGACUGGCGCGGAGAAAAAGCCGGAAGCAGCCGGGCCUUGCAGGGAGCCGACUGAGCGCUGCGGGGGCGUGGCCUGGCGGUGGAGGGGCGUGGCCAGCCGCCGUAACCUGGGUUUGCGGUCUUUGAGGCGCACGCACCGCACCCAGUCCCGACUCUGUGGCUUCCUGGGGGCGGGUUCGCCGUCGGCCCCGCCCCCGCCCAGGUGUCUCCCUUUGGGAAGGUGCCCGCCGAGUCUCCGAGAUUUGUCCCUGGUGGUCCCGCAGACCCCUCGUCCCUCCGCAGUCUCCGGCUGGCGGCGAUGGAGGGCGCUGGGGAGAACGCCCCGGAGUCCAGCUCCUCUGCCCCUGGGUCCGAAGAGUCUGCCAGGGAUCCACAGGUGCCGCCUCCGGAGGAAGAAUCGGGGGACUGCGCCCGGUCCCUGGAGGCGGUCCCCAAGAAACUCUGUGGGUAUUUAAGUAAGUUCGGCGGCAAAGGGCCCAUCCGGGGCUGGAAAUCCCGCUGGUUCUUCUACGACGAAAGGAAAUGUCAGCUGUAUUACUCGCGGACCGCGCAGGAUGCUAAUCCCUUGGACAGCAUCGACCUCUCCAGUGCAGUGUUUGACUGUAAGGCGGACGCUGAGGAGGGGAUCUUCGAAAUCAAGACUCCCAGCCGGGUUAUUACCCUGAAGGCCGCCACCAAGCAAGUGAUGCUGUACUGGCUGCAGCAGCUGCAGAUGAAGCGCUGGGAGUUCCACAACAGCCCGCCGGCACCUCCUGCCACCCCUGAUGCCGCCCUGGCUGGGAAUGGGCCCGUCCUGCACCUCGAGCUAGGGCAAGAAGAGGCAGAGCUGGAGGAGUUCCUGUGCCCUGUGAAAACACCCCCUGGGCUAGUGGGCGUGGCAGCUGCCUUGCAGCCCUUCCCUGCCCUUCAGAAUAUUUCCCUCAAGCACCUGGGGACUGAAAUACAAAACACAAUGCACAACAUCCGUGGCAACAAGCAGGCCCAGGGAACAGGCCAUGAACCUCCAGGGGAAGAUUCUCCACAGAGUGGGGAGCCUCAGAGGGAGGAGCAGCCCUCGGCCUCUGACGCCAGCACCCCAGGGAGAGAGCCAGAGGAUUCUCCAAAGCCUGCACCCAAGCCUUCUCUGACCAUCAGUUUCGCUCAGAAAGCCAAGCGCCAGAACAACACCUUCCCAUUCUUUUCUGAAGGAAUCACACGGAACCGAACUGCCCAGGAGAAAGUGGCAGCCUUGGAGCAACAGGUUCUGAUGCUCACCAAGGAGUUAAAGUCUCAGAAGGAGCUAGUGAAGAUCCUGCACAAGGCACUGGAGGCCGCCCAGCAGGAGAAGCGGGCGUCCAGCGCAUACCUGGCGGCGGCUGAGGACAAGGACCGGCUGGAGCUGGUGCGGCACAAAGUGCGGCAGAUCGCGGAGCUGGGCCGGCGGGUGGAGGCCCUGGAGCAGGAGCGGGAGAGCCUGGCGCACACAGCGAGCCUGCGGGAGCAGCAGGUGCAGGAGCUACAGCAGCACGUGCAGCUGCUUAUGGACAAGAACCACGCCAAGCAGCAGGUCAUCUGCAAGCUCUCUGAGAAGGUCACCCAGGACUUCACGCACCCCCCUGACCAGUCUCCUUUGCGCCCCGACGCUGCCAACAGGGACUUCCUGAGCCAGCAGGGGAAGAUAGAGCACCUGAAGGAUGACAUGGAAGCUUACCGGACCCAGAACUGCUUCCUCAACUCCGAGAUCCACCAGGUCACAAAGAUCUGGAGAAAGGUGGCUGAGAAGGAGAAGGCCCUUCUGACGAAGUGCGCCUACCUCCAAGCCAGAAACUGCCAGGUGGAAAGCAAGUACCUGGCCGGUCUGAGAAGGCUGCAGGAGGCCCUGGGGGACGAAGCCAGCGAGUGCUCAGAGCUGCUGAGGCAGCUUGUCCAGGAGGCGCUGCAGUGGGAAGCUGGGGAGGCCUCAUCUGACAGCAUCGAGCUGAGCCCCAUCAGUAAGUAUGAUGAGUACGGCUUCCUGACGGUGCCCGACUAUGAGGUGGAAGACCUGAAGCUGCUGGCCAAGAUCCAGGCGUUGGAGUCACGAUCCCACCACCUGCUGGGCCUCGAGGCUGUGGAUCGGCCGCUGAGGGAGCGCUGGGCUGCCCUGGGCGAUCUUGUGCCCUCAGCCGAGCUCAAGCAGCUACUGCGGGCAGGAGUACCCCGUGAACACCGGCCUCGUGUCUGGAGGUGGCUGGUCCACCUCCGUGUCCAGCACCUGCACACUCCAGGCUGCUACCAGGAACUGCUGAGCCGGGGCCAGGCCCGCGAGCACCCUGCUGCCCGCCAGAUUGAGCUGGACCUGAACCGGACCUUCCCCAACAACAAACACUUCACCUGCCCCACCUCCAGCUUCCCCGACAAGCUCCGCCGGGUGCUGCUGGCCUUCUCCUGGCAGAACCCCACCAUCGGCUACUGCCAGGGCCUGAACAGGCUGGCGGCCAUUGCCCUGCUGGUCCUAGAGGAGGAGGAGAGCGCCUUCUGGUGCCUGGUGGCCAUUGUGGAGACUAUCAUGCCCGCUGAUUACUACUGCAACACGCUGACGGCAUCCCAGGUGGACCAGCGGGUGCUCCAGGACCUGCUCUCGGAGAAGCUGCCCAGGCUGAUGGCCCAUCUGGGGCAGCACCACGUGGAUCUCUCCCUCGUCACCUUCAACUGGUUCCUCGUGGUCUUUGCGGACAGUCUCAUUAGCAACAUCCUCCUUCGGGUCUGGGAUGCCUUCCUGUACGAGGGGACGAAGGUGGUGUUUCGCUAUGCCUUGGCCAUUUUCAAGUACAACGAGAAGGAGAUCUUGAGGCUACAGAAUGGCCUGGAAAUCUACCAGUACCUGCGCUUCUUCACCAAGACCAUCUCCAACAGCCGGUGAGGAACCCCCACCCCCUGCCACUGCCACCACUCACACACCCCCAGGACACAUAGCAGAGGGGAGGCUGAUGUUUGCCAAGUAGAGAUUGGAAGCUGAUGAACAUCGCCUUCAAUGACAUGAACCCCUUCCGCAUGAAACAGCUGCGGCAGCUGCGCAUGGUCCACCGGGAGCGGCUGGAGGCUGAGCUGCGGGAGCUGGAGCAGCUUAAGGCGGAGUACCUGGAGAGGCAGGCAUCCCGGCGCAGAGCCGUGUCCGAGGGCUGUGCCAGCGAGGACGAGGUGGAGGGGGAAGCCUGACUUGGCCAACUCCCCUCCCCACAGCCUUCCUCACCCUUGGCUGGCAGACCCACUGGAGGUCAGGCACGGACCAGUGGCCCAGCCCUGGGUGUCCCAUCACCAUGUGACCUUGGACAUGUCCCUUCCCCUCUCUGGCCCUCAGUUUCCCCACUGGGACAUUGUGUGCUGCAAAGCCAUUGGUUGGGCUACUUCUUCAUAGGCACUUACUUACCCAGGGAUGCCACCCUUUCGUCACCUCUUCCACAGAGCACUUUGGCAUGUAAACAAGCAAGAGCACUGCCUCUAUAGGGUAACCUGGAACAUUCUCUAGGUUAUAUCAAUAUAAAACAAUGUAAAUGGUGGAAAUCAUUCAUAAGCUUUGGAACUUAAACAGUUCUCAGUUA